ACCCACAUUCAGGGACCCAGAAUUUGUGGAAUUAUUUCUUGGUGCACUUCCCUAUAUCCAGCUAUGCAACAAGAUCCGGUUGGCGAUGGUCAGUUUUUGAGCUUCGAACGGGCAGAAAGCUAUGCAACAAGAUCAGGGUGGCGAUGGCCAGUUGUUGAGCUUCCAACGGGCAGAAAGCUAUGCAACAAGAUCCGGGUGGCAAUGGUCAGUUCUUGACCUUCAAACGGGCAGAAAGGUGAGAAAUUGUCGCUUUUUGACCAUUUGUGCCCACGUGUCACUUUCAACGUACCUCUG